rnacentral:tRNA from 1 species
UGUGGCUUAGGGGUAGAGCGCUUGCCUGGCACGCAUGAGGCACUGGGUUCAAUCCUCAGCA